ACGAACGCUGGCGGCAGGCCUAACACAUGCAAGUCGAGCGAGGACUUCGGUUCUAGCGGCGGACGGGUGAGUAACGCGUGGGAAUGUGCCCUUCUCUACGGAAUAGCCCUGGGAAACUGGGAGUAAUACCGUAUACGCCCUAUUGGGGAAAGAUUUAUCGGAGAAGGAUCAGCCCGCGUUGGAUUAGGUAGUUGGUGGGGUAAUGGCCUACCAAGCCGACGAUCCAUAGCUGGUUUGAGAGGAUGAUCAGCCACACUGGGACUGAGACACGGCCCAGACUCCUACGGGAGGCAGCAGUGGGGAAUCUUAGACAAUGGGGGCAACCCUGAUCGAGCCAUGCCGCGUGAGUGAUGAAGGCCUUAGGGUUGUAAAGCUCUUUCAGCUGGGAAGAUAAUGACGGUACCAGCAGAAGAAGCCCCGGCUAACUCCGUG
rnacentral:rRNA from 1 species